rnacentral:misc_RNA from 1 species
UACGGAGGGGGUUAGCGUUGUUCGGAAUUACUGGGCGUAAAGCGCACGUAGGCGGGCACUUAAGUCAGGGGUGAAAUCCCGGGGCUCAACCUCGGAAUUGCCUCUGAUACUGGGUGCCUCGAGUCCGAGAGAGGUGAGUGGAGCUCCGAGUGUAGAGGUGAAAUUCGUAGAUAUUCGGAAGAACACCAGUGGCGAAGGCGGCUCACUGGCUCGGUACUGACGCUGAGGUGCGAAAGCGUGGGGAGCAAACAGG